GAUGAACGCUGGCGGCGUGCUUAACACAUGCAAGUCGAACGAAGCACUUAAGAUUGAUUCUUCGGAUGAAGUCUUUUGUGACUGAGUGGCGGACGGGUGAGUAACGCGUGGGUAACCUGCCUCAUACAGGGGGAUAACAGUUAGAAAUGACUGCUAAUACCGCAUAAGCGCACAGGGUCGCAUGGCCUGGUGUGAAAAACUCCGGUGGUAUGAGAUGGACCCGCGUCUGAUUAGCUAGUUGGCGAGGUAACGGCCCACCAAGGCGACGAUCAGUAGCCGACCUGAGAGGGUGAUCGGCCACAUUGGGACUGAGAC
rnacentral:rRNA from 1 species